CCGAAGCUGCGGCAGCGACACUCAGGUGUUGUUGGGUAGGGGAGCGUUCUGUAAGCCUGCGAAGGUGGCCUGUGAGGGUUGCUGGAGGUAUCAGAAGUGCGAAUGCUGACAUAAGUAACGAUAAAGCGGGUGAAAAGCCCGCUCGCCGGAAGACCAAGGGUUCCUGUCCAACGUUAAUCGGGGCAGGGUGAGUCGACCCCUAAGGCGAGGCCGAAAGGCGUAGUCGAUGGGAAACGGGUUAAUAUUCCCGUACUUGGUGUUACUGCGAAGGGGGGACGGAGAAGGCUAUGUUGGCCGGGCGACGGUUGUCCCGGUUUAAGCGUGUAGGUGUGUGUUCCAGGUAAAUCCGGUUCACUUUAACACUGAGGCGUGAUGACGAGGCACUACGGUGCUGAAGCAACAAAUGCCCUGCUUCCAGGAAAAGCCUCUAAGCAUCAGGUAACAUCAAAUCGUACCCCAAACCGACACAGGUGGUCAGGUAGAGAAUACCAAGGCGCUUGAGAGAACUCGGGUGAAGGAACUAGGCAAAAUGGUGCCGUAACUUCGGGAGAAGGCACGCUGACACGUAGGUGAAGUGAUUUACUCAUGGAGCUGAAGUCAGUCGAAGAUACCAGCUGGCUGCAACUGUUUAUUAAAAACACAGCACUGUGCAAACACGAAAGUGGACGUAUACGGUGUGACGCCUGCCCGGUGCCGGAAGGUUAAUUGAUGGGGUCAGCGCAAGCGAAGCUCCUGAUCGAAGCCCCGGUAAACGGCGGCCGUAACUAUAACGGUCCUAAGGUAGCGAAAUUCCUUGUCGGGUAAGUUCCGACCUGCACGAAUGGCGUAAUGAUGGCCAGGCUGUCUCCACCCGAGACUCAGUGAAAUUGAACUCGCUGUGAAGAUGCAGUGUACCCGCGGCAAGACGGAAAGACCCCGUGAACCUUUACUAUAGCUUGACACUGAACAUUGAGCCUUGAUGUGUAGGAUAGGUGGGAGGCUUUGAAGCGUGGACGCCAGUCUGCGUGGAGCCGACCUUGAAAUACCACCCUUUAAUGUUU
rnacentral:rRNA from 1 species